GCCAGCAGCCAUAUCACCCUGCAACUCACAGCUGUCAGCCCACUGGAGCUCAACAGGUGUGAGCCUGGUUGGUACCUGGAUGGGAGACCUCCAGGGAAAAACUAAGGUUGCUGCUGGAA
rfam:Lepisosteus oculatus linkage group LG14, whole genome shotgun sequence.